GGAUCGGGCUUUUCAAAAACCGAUCCGGAUCGGCGAAUCGGCGAUCCGGAUCGGCGAAUCGGCGAUCCGGAUCGGAAUCGGGUGAAUCGGUCAGAAUAAAGCUUCAAAAAAAUCCGAAAAAAUUAUUAAAAUUCAUUAUAAAUAUUGGUUUUUAGGAAUUCAAUAAAAAAUGAGGAUACUCCAUUAAGAAUUUUCAUGUUUUUGAAUGAAUAUGCAAAUAUUGAUAUGUUCUUUCCCUGCAUGAACCGCCGN
rnacentral:lncRNA from 1 species